rnacentral:rRNA from 1 species
AGAGUUUGAUUAUGGCUCAGAACGAACGCUGGCGGCGUGGAUAAGACAUGCAAGUCGAGCGGGACAUUCAGGGUAGCAAUAUUCUGGAUGUUCAGCGGCGCAAGGGUGCGUAACACGUGGGUAAUCUGCCGUGAAGCCCGGAAUAACUCGCUGAAAGGCGAGCUAAUACCGGAUGUGAAGUCUGGAAGGCAUCUUUUGGACUUCAAAGCUGGGGACCGUAAGGCCUGGCACUUCACGAUGAGCCCGCGGCCUAUCAGCUAGUUGGUGAGGUAACGGCUCACCAAGGCUAAGACGGGUAGCUGGUCUGAGAGGACGACCAGCCACACUGGAACUGAGACACGGUCCAGACACCUACGGGUGGCAGCAGUCGAGAAUUUUUCACAAUGGGCGAAAGCCUGAUGGAGCGACGCCGCGUGGGGGAUGAAUGGCUUCGGCCCGUAAACCCCUGUCAUUUGCGAACAAGUUGUUUCACCUAACACGUGAAGCAUUGAUAGUAGCGAAAGAGGAAGGGACGGCUAACUCUGUGCCAGCAGCCGCGGUAAU